rnacentral:rRNA from 1 species
UACAGAGGAGCCAAGCGUUGUCCGGAUUGACUGGGCGUAAAGCGCACGCAGGCGGACGCGCGCGUGGGGUGUGAAAUCUGGCCGCUUAACGGCCAGGCGCCAUCCCAUACGGCGGGUCUGGAGUGAUGCAGAGGCGGUGGAAUUGCCGGUGUAGUGGUGAAAUGCGUAGAGAUCGGCAGGAACACCCAGGGGGAAACCAGCCGCCUGGGCAUCGACUGACGCUGAGGUGCGAGAGCGUGGGGAGCGAACCGG